rnacentral:snRNA from 1 species
CAAAGUGUAGUAUCUGUUCUUAUCAGCUUAAUAUCUGAUACGUGGCCGACAGGCCCACUACGAUAUUAAACUGGUUUUUGGAACUCGGCAAGGGCCUGGGGCUUGCUCCACCCUCGCCACGGGUNGAC